rnacentral:rRNA from 1 species
AUUGAACGCUGGCGGCAGGCCUAACACAUGCAAGUCGAGCGGAAGAAGGGUGCUUGUUCCUGGUUCCAGCGGCGGACGGGUGUGUAAUGCCUAGGAAUCUGCCUCGUAGUGGGGGAUAACGUCCGGAAACGGGCGCUAAUACUGCAUACGUCCAGCGGGUGCAAGAGGGGGAUCUUCGGACCUCACGCUCUCAGAUGAGCCUAGGUCGGAUUAGUUAGUUGGUGGGGUAAAGGCCUACCAAGGCGACGAUCCGUAACUGGCCUGAGUGGAGGAUCAGUCACACGGGAACUGGGACACGGUCCAGACGCCUACGGGAGGCAGCAGUGGGGAAUAUGAGACAAUGGGCGAAAGCCUGAUCCAGCCAGGCCGCGUGUGUGAAGAAGGUCUUCGGAUUGUAAAGCACGUUAUGGGGGGAGGAAGGGCAGUAGGUUAAUACCUUGCUGGAUUGACGUUACCGGCAGAAGAAGCACCGGCUAACUACGUG